UGCUGCUUUGCUGACGAGUGGCGGACGGGUGAGUAAUGUCUGGGAAACUGCCUGAUGGAGGGGGAUAACUACUGGAAACGGUAGCUAAUACCGCAUAACGUCGCAAGACCAAAGAGGGGGACCUUCGGGCCUCUUGCCAUCGGAUGUGCCCAGAUGGGAUUAGCUAGUAGGUGGGGUAACGGCUCACCUAGGCGACGAUCCCUAGCUGGUCUGAGAGGAUGACCAGCCACACUGGAACUGAGACACGGUCCAGACUCCUACGGGAGGCAGCAGUGGGGAAUAUUGCACAAUGGGCGCAAGCCUGAUGCAGCCAUGCCGCGUGUAUGAAGAAGGCCUUCGGGUUGUAAAGUACUUUCAGCGGGGAGGAA
rnacentral:rRNA from 1 species